AGGCAGCAGUGGGGAAUAUUGCACAAUGGGGGAAACCCUGAUGCAGCGACGCCGCGUGAGCGAUGAAGGCUUUCGGGUCGUAAAGCUCUGUNNNAAGGGACGAAUAAUGACGGUACCUUAGGAGGAAGCCCCGGCUAACUACGUGCCAGCAGCCGCGGUAAUACNUAGGGGGCGAGCGUUGUCCGGAAUUACUGGGCNUAAAGGGUGCGUAGGCGGCCUUGCAAGUCAGAUGUGAAAGGCAUCGGCUCAACCGAUGUAAGCAUUUGAAACUGUAAGGCUUGAGUACAGGAGAGGAGAGUGGAAUUCCUAGUGUAGCGGUGAAAUGCGUAGAUAUUAGGAGGAACACCAGUGGCGAAGGCGACUCUCUGGACUGUAACUGACGCUGAGGCACGAAAGCGUGGGGAGCAAACAGGAUUAGAUACCCUGGUAGUCCACGCCGUAAACGAUGAGUGCUAAGUGU
rnacentral:rRNA from 1 species